rnacentral:rRNA from 1 species
UACGAAGGGGGCUAGCGUUGUUCGGAAUUACUGGGCGUAAAGGGCGCGUAGGCGGCUCAUGAAGGCUGUGGUGAAAGUCCGGGGCUCAACCUCGGAUCGGCCGUGGCGACUCGUGGGCUGGAGCACUGUAGAGGCGGGUGGAAUUCCGGGUGUAGCGGUGGAAUGCGUAGAGAUCCGGAAGAACACCCGUGGCUAAGGCGGCUCUCUAGUACGGUACUGACGCUGAGACGCGAAAGCGUGGGGAGCGAACAGG